rnacentral:rRNA from 1 species
GUAGGUGGCAAGCGUUGUCCGGAAUUAUUGGGCGUAAAGCGCGCGCAGGCGGUCCUUUAAGUCUGAUGUGAGAGCCCACGGCUCAACCGUGGAGGGUCAUUGGAAACUGGGGGACUUGAGUACAGAAGAGGAAAGCGGAAUUCCAAGUGUAGCGGUGAAAUGCGUAGAGAUUUGGAGGAACACCAGUGGCGAAGGCGGCUUUCUGGUCUGUAACUGACGCUGAGGCGCGAAAGCGUGGGGAGCAAACAGGGAUUAGAUACCCUGGUAGUCCACGCCGUAAACGAUGAGUGCUAAGUGUUAGGGGGUUUCCCGCCCCUUAGUGCUGCAGCUAACGCAUUAAGCACUCCGCCUGGGGAGUACGGCCGCAAGGCUG